rnacentral:lncRNA from 1 species
GAACAUCUUUUCUCUAAUCACUCCAAUGGAACUCAAACACGUACUUCAAGUUAAUUCUGGUAUCCAAGAAUCAGUCUCAUCUAACAUAAACAAGAACAUUCAACUUGAUAGAACUUCAUUACCUCAUUUUUACAAUUCCCAAAGUUACUAAAUGAAGGACCAUUCCUAAAACAUACUUACAUCCAACUUUCUCCAUGAAUAAACUUAUCGUCUUUUAUGUACUGAUGAAUAUAGAGAUGGAGCGAUCAGAGUUUGUUUAUGUACCAAAUUAGAGUGAGUUGAGAAAAGAGUGGAUUUACACAAGGACGAAAUGGCUGGCUGCUGCUUGUUCAAAACUGAAAGUUAGGGUGACCAUGUUU